rnacentral:rRNA from 1 species
UACGUAGGGGGCUAGCGUUGUCCGGAAUCAUUGGGCGUAAAGAGCGUGUAGGCGGUCCGGUAAGUCCGCUGUGAAAGUCGGGGGCUCAACCCUCGAAUGCCGGUGGAUACUGUCGGGCUAGAGUCCAGUAGGGGAGCGUGGAAUUCCUGGUGUAGCGGUGAAAUGCGCAGAUAUCAGGAGGAACACCAGCGGCGAAGGCGGCGCUCUGGGCUGGCACUGACGCUGAGGAGCGAAAGCGUGGGGAGCGAACAGG